GAUCAUGGCUCAGGAUGAACGCUAGCUACAGGCUUAACACAUGCAAGUCGAGGGGAAACGACAUCGAAAGCUUGCUUUUGAUGGGCGUCGACCGGCGGACGGGUGAGUAACGCGUGGGUAACCUGCCUCAUACAGGGGGAUAACAGUUAGAAACGACUGCUAAUACCGCAUAAGCGCACAGGAUCGCAUGAUCCGGUGUGAAAAACUCCGGUGGUAUGGGAUGGACCCGCGUCUGAUUAG
rnacentral:rRNA from 1 species